CCCUUAGAUGUUCUGGGCCGCACGUGCGCUACACUGAUGCAUUCAACGAGUUUCUUCCUGGUCCGAGAGGAAUGGGUAACCCUUUGAAAGUGCAUCGUGAUAGGGAUAGACUAUUGCAAUUAUUGGUCUUCAACGAGGAAUUCCUAGUAGACGUAGUUCAUCAGACUGCAUCGAUUACGUCCCUGCCCUUUGUACACACCGCCCGUCGCUCCUACCGAUUGAAUGCUCAGGUGAGCCAUUCGGACUUUCAUCAUGCUGGUUUCCAGUUUUGAUGAAGGAAAGUCUUGCGAACCUUAUCAUUUAGAGGAAGGAGAAGUCGUAACA
rnacentral:rRNA from 1 species